GUCGUUAAUCGCAUCAUGCUAAUAUUUAACCCACCGGAGAAAAGUCAAAGGACACUGUUUUGUGAAAAUUCUUGGACUUUUUUUGUUGGUUGAAAAGAUGUCUACAGGAAAAAGGACAGCUAACAGGAGUUCUUGUCCUGCGGAAACAGACUUUACCAAACGGUGUUACUUCGACAGACCACCGGACUCAGGGUUUGUACC